UCCACAUGACGGGUCGAGACCCUCUUCCCUUGCCGCCGCCUCCUCUCCUCUCCCUCGAUUCUCCUUGCGCCGCCACCCUCGUUCUGCAUCCGCGCCUGCUCUGAGCCCCUUCUCUUCCCCAUGCCGCCAGCCUCCUCCUCUGUACCCCUCCUCUUACCAUGCCGCCGACCUCCUCCUCUCCGCCUCUCCUUGUCGGUCGUCGCUCCAAUUCAUGGACCUCCUUGCCGCGGUUGUAGUGGUCGAACAAGACGAAGAGGAGCUGCAGCAUCGGGUCGGUGCAGCGGCCGGCUGCAGGGGCCUCGGUGGAAGAGACCAUCGAUGGCCGUGGACGGCACGGAUGACGACCAGCUGGUCUCAAUAUCCACGGAGGACGUCGUCCGGGCCUCCCGCCUUGUCAACAACGAGAUCCGCGUCCUCGAGGCAAGCCGCACCCUCCCAAACCUAGACCCCCUUGCUUCCGCGGAGCCAAGCAGGAAAUCUCAUGAGACUUGUUCCCUUGUUUUGUUUGUAGUUUUGGUUUAGGUCUGAUUGAUUGGCAUUUCUAUAUCACCCCUCGCUGACGAUGGCACAUAGGACGAGCUGCAGCGAAGGAACCUGGAGAGUGGAGACCCUCAAGGACUUGCAUCAUGAAGAUAGCAGUUAAAAGGUGGCUUCAGUUCUGGGCAUGAACCAGUAUGGUGGUGUUUGGGAAACUGUUGGUAAAGUCACUUAGGACCUAACGGUGCUGAAAACAUACCUACCGAUGGAGAGAAGGGCACAAGAGGGACCGCUGAGCAUAAUGAUUCCAUAACUAGGCUAAAACAAGCAUCAGCAACUAAUGUUUCAGCGGUUGCCGCAAAGGCUAAGUCGCUGAUCAGGAGGAAGAUCAAUUUCUAUGCCUCCUUGCAUGUGCUACAAUGAUCGUUCUCACAUUUAGAAAUUGGAUUUAGUCUUUGGUUCAUGUUGAGGAGUUUGGAUUAUUGUGAGGACAACUUUUUGGAGUUUAGUUUACCCUGAGUAAUUGUUGUAGGAGUUGGGAGUGCUCUAUAUGCUCUGUGAUGACUACUUGCACUACAGGAGCCUCCCAACGAAGGUCAUCUUUCUCACCUUUCUACCCCUCCAGCCCCUCCCUCUAAAUCCCAUUGUGACUUUCAUGUGAAAGAGACUAGAUCAUGCAUAAGAAAGGGCAGAUUAGCAUUUCAUUGGUGUGUGCGCAUCGGCAGUGAGCUUUUGUGCUACUUUUAUUUCAGAGUGAUGACCAGUACUGCUAAUGUUGGCAGAUACUCUAUUUUAUUUUGUGUUGCACUUAGCUCAAAUUAUUAUAUUUUCUUUAGAUGUCGGGUGAAAAGAGGUACCAAUAGAAUAUAUACCAGAUACUGAUUAUCUGCGAAAAAUUCUUAGCAUGUGGCCAUCUAAACGUAUUUGUUUUUCUAAGCCGCACAAACCAGGUUCAAAGAGUUGUAAGAAAGGAGAACUACCUGAAAUCAUGUACCAACUACUAACGCCUACCAACAAUCAGGUCGGUUCAGAACCAGUCGCAGAAAAGAACCAACGGAAUUAUGCUCAUACAGCGAAUGGGAAGGACAACUUUUAACCAAGAUGGCUUCUAGAUCAAUGUAAAAUAAUAGAUAUAGCUAACACUUGCAGCACCAUCUCCUUUCCGGUGAGAUCGGGGAAGUGGUUGAGGCCGAGGGGGUACGUGUAGACCCUGGUUUCGACCGCGGUGUUGUGUGGAUCGACGAGGCGAAAAAGGAAUUUUCUCAAAAGAAAAAGGGGAUGGAUGAUGGAUAGUACUACCUCUGAUUGGCUUUUAUUGAAUGGAUUCUGACUGUUGUCUUGCACUAAACUGAACAAGUGCCCAUGCAGUUUCACAAUCUGAACUUUCAUUUCAUUAAACAAGAAAAGCGAGGUUGGUCAUUGAUGAUGCAUUUAUGGAUCCAUUUGAUGAUGAAUCCUAUCCCAUCCCAUCUUGAAUACCCCUCUCUGCAUUUCAAAGGUACUAGCUAGCAUUACCAUGUUUGUGUUUGUCGAUCAAGUUUUCAGAUCAAUAGCUAUUAUUUUUGUUCUGAAUGUUUUAUAUAUGAUAACUUUUGUACAUACUGGUGUCCAUAUAAGUCAGCUAUGUAGUCUUGAUAUUUCAUAUGUACCUUCAAUUUUUUUGCCUCAAGUAAUGAGAUUAAAAUAAGUUUUAUGUUGUGCAGCAAAUAUCUUGAGAGUGACCACUCCAAAACUUUAUGUUGGUAGGUACAUAUUUGAUAGCAUACUGUAGUCAAGGAAGGGGAGUGCGUCCGCUGCUGUAUGAGAAAAAGUGCACGCAACUGAGGACCCAAGAUGCUAACGGUGCAGAGCCGUUCACCAUCGAGAGGACCAGGGCCACCAUCAGGAAUCUCCGGACCAAGCUCAACAUCACCAUCGCCUUUGUCAAAGACAUGUCCCGGAGGGUAGUUGCUGUCUGCGACGACUCAUCCAAAUGCUGGCAAGGAUGUGGCGAGUCAUUGGCGAUGUGCACCGGGUGACGAAGCGCAUAGCGGAUGAGGUGAGCGAGCUUCUCCCACAGUCGCCACACGGUCGGAGGCAUCAGAGGCACACCGCCGCCGCUGGGGCCUACACAUGCGCAAUUUCUAUUGUUGUAUCUUAUUAGUUGCCAUGCAGCAAGAUGCUUCUGUCGAUGGUAUUAUAUUGUUGUGUGUUGUCUGUGAUGGAAUAUUAUUUUCUUUCUCACGUGAUGUAUAAAUAUAAUAAGUUUAUCAAGAAUUUCAUAUCCAGAUCCAAAAAGGAAACUGAAAGGGUCGUUCCCUGGUGCCA